rnacentral:rRNA from 1 species
UACGUAGGGAGCAAGCGUUGUUCGGAUUUACUGGGCGUAAAGGGCGCGUAGGCGGCAAUUCAAGUCACUUGUGAAAUCUCCGGGCUUAACUCGGAACGGUCAAGUGAUACUGCUUUGCUAGAGUCCGGAAGGGGCGAGUGGAAUUCCUGGUGUAGCGGUGAAAUGCGCAGAUAUCAGGAGGAACACCAAUGGCGAAGGCAGCUCGCUGGAACGGUACUGACGCUGAGGCGCGAAAGCGUGGGGAGCGAACAGG